AGUUAAUGAACUUGAAUAAGUAUAUGUUUUGAAAACAUAAUAUAGGAAUAAUAUCCCUAUUAACUU
rnacentral:tRNA from 1 species